CCUACGGGGUGCAGCAGUGGGGAAUAUUGCACAAUGGGGGAAACCCUGAUGCAGCGACGCCGCGUGAGUGAAGAAGUAUCUCGGUACGUAAAGCUCUAUUAGCAGGGAAGAUAAUGACGGUACCUGACCAAGAAGCACCGGCUAACUACGUGCCAGCAGCCGCGGUAAUACGUAGGGGGCAAGCGUUAUCCGGAUUGACUGGGUGUAAAGGGAGCGUAGACGGGAGCACAAGUCUGGAGUGAAAUCCCAGGGCUUAACCCCGGAACUGCAUUGGAAACUGUGCGUCUAGAGUGCAGGAGGGGUAAGCGGAAUUCCUAGUGUAGCGGUGAAAUGCGUAGAGAUUAGGAGGAACACUGGUGGCGAAGGCGGCUUACUGGACUGUAACUGACGUUGAGGCGCGAAAGCGUGGGGAGCAAACAGGAUUAGAUACCCUGGUAGUC
rnacentral:rRNA from 1 species